rnacentral:siRNA from 1 species
AAAAAAACUGAUCUGGACUGCCAUCA